UCGAGCGGUGCAAGACCUCGGCAUACUGCUCAGUAACACGUGGACAAUCUAACCUAAGGUGGGGGAUAACCCCGGGAAACUGGGGAUAAUACCCCAUAGACUAUGGGUGCUGGAAUGCUCUGUAGUUGAAAGGUCCGCCGCCAUAGGAUGAGUCUGCGGCCGAUUAGGUUGUUGUUGGGGUAACGGCCCAACAAGCCUGUAAUCGGUACGGGUUGUGGGAGCAAGAGCCCGGAGAUGGAUUCUGAGACACGAAUCCAGGCCCUACGGGGCGCAGCAGGCGCGAAAACUUUACAAUGCGGGAAACCGUGAUAAGGGAACUCCGAGUGCCCGUAAAAUCGGGCUGUCCACCAGUGCAAAUAACUGGUGAAGAAAGGGCCGGGCAAGACCGGUGCCAGCCGCCGCGGUAAUACCGGCGGCUCGAGU
rnacentral:rRNA from 1 species